rnacentral:rRNA from 1 species
UAUUAUGAGAGUUUGAUCCUGGCUCAGGACGAACGCUGGCGGCGUGCCUAAUACAUGCAAGUCGAACGCUUCUUUCCUCCCGAGUGCUUGCACUCAACUGGAAAGAGGAGUGGCGGACGGGUGAGUAACACGUGGGUAACCUACCCAUCAGAGGGGGAUAACACUUGGAAACAGG